rnacentral:rRNA from 1 species
GAAAAGAAACUAACAAGGAUUCCCUUAGUAACGGCGAGUGAACCGGGAAGAGCUCAAAUKUGAAAUCUGGCUGUCUUCGAUAGUCCGAGUUGUAAUCUAUAGAAGCGUUUUCCGUGCUGAACUGUGUCUAAGUCCUCUGGAACGAGGUAUCAAAGAGGGUGACAAUCCCGUACUUGACACAAUCAUCAGUGCUCUGUGAUACGUUCUCUACGAGUCGAGUUGUUUGGGAAUGCAGCUCAAAAUGGGUGGUAAAUUCCAUCUAAAGCUAAAUAUUGGCGAGAGACCGAUAGCGAACAAGUACCGUGAGGGAAAGAUGAAAAGCACUUUGGAAAGAGAGUUAAACAGUACGUGAAAUUGUUAAAAGGGAAACGAUUGAAGUCAGUCGUGUUUAUUGGAUUCAGCCGGUCUUCGGUGUACUUCCUUUAAACGGGUCAACAUCAGUUUUGUUCGGUGGAUAAAGGCAGUAGGAAUGUGGCUCCCUCGGGAGUGUUAUAGCCUAUUGUCACAUACACUGGAGGAGACUGAGGACUGCAGCUCGCCUUUUUGGCC